rnacentral:rRNA from 1 species
AACGAACGCUGGCGGCAUGCCUAACACAUGCAAGUCGAACGAAGCCUUCGGGCUUAGUGGCGCACGGGUGCGUAACGCGUGGGAAUCUGCCCUUGGGUUCGGAAUAACAGUUAGAAAUGACUGCUAAUACCGAAUGAUGUCUUCGGACCAAAGAUUUAUCGCCCAAGGAUGAGCCCGCGUCGGAUUAGCUAGUUGGUGAGGUAAAGGCUCACCAAGGCGACGAUCCGUAGCUGGUCUGAGAGGAUGAUCAGCCACACUGGGACUGAGACACGGCCCAGACUCCUACGGAGGCAGCAGUGGGAAUAUUGGACAAUGGGCGAAAGCCUGAUCCAGCAAUGCCGCGUGAGUGAUGAAGGCCUUAGGGUUGUAAAGCUCUUUUACCCGGAUGAUAAUGACAGU